CAUCUUGGUGAAGGAAAACGACAGUUCCGGAAAACAUCCGAUAGAAAUAAAGGGUGUGUGUCAAGUCACUCUGAUUUCAUGCCGGACUGGAAUUCCAGUUUUUACUCUCUCGCAGUUGCAUUUCUUCCUCGAAACCAAGGCACACCAAAGUUUACCAACACAAAAUCAUGAUGCUUUUUUCGAACACGGUCCAGGCAGUUGCCCAAAACUGCAGAGCUUUCAAAAGUUAAAAAGUACAUGUACAUAUACAUACGAGGGUUGUCCAAAAAGUUCGUGGACAAUGACGUUUUUGUGAAAAUAAAUGGUUAUUUAUAAA